rnacentral:rRNA from 1 species
UAGGGAAUUUUCGUUCAAUGGGCGCAAGCCUGAACGAGCGAUGCCGCGUGAGUGAAGAAGGCCUUCGGGUCGUAAAGCUCUGUUGCGGGGGAAAAAGGCAGCAUCAGGAAAUGGGUGCUGACUGAUGGUGCCCCGCCAGAAAGUCACGGCUAACUACGUGCC